UUUUCCCUAAAAAAAAUAUACAAAAAGGAAAAUCCAAGAUAUCCAUUUGAGAAAAAAGGUUAGUCGAAGCAUUACAUACCUCCAUAAUCUCUCUUUCAUCAGGAUUACAUGGCUUUCGAAUUGUCCAUAUGAACAACUUCAAUACAAUGCUUACAAAAGGCUUUUUUCAAAUGUAGAAGUCAGAUUGCUUUGAUUGCGCCUUCAGAUCUUUCAAUUUCUUCAAGAUGUUUGUGAAAUAAUCCUGCAAAUAUUUCUCUAAA